rnacentral:rRNA from 1 species
AGUGAACGCUGGCGGUAGGCCUAACACAUGCAAGUCGAACGGCAGCACAGUAAGAGCUUGCUCUUACGGGUGGCGAGUGGCGGACGGGUGAGGAAUACAUCGGCAUCUACUUUUUCGUGGGGGAUAACGUAGGGAAACUUACGCUAAUACCGCAUACGACCUACGGGUGAAAGCAGGGGAUCUUCGGACCUUGCGCGAUUGAAUGAGCCGAUGUCGGAUUAGCUAGUUGGCGGGGUAAAGGCCCACCAAGGCAACGAUCCGUAGCUGGUCUGAGAGGAUGAUCAGCCACACUGGAACUGAGACACGGUCCAGACUCCUACGGGAGGCAGCAGUGGGGAAUAUUGGACAAUGGGCGCAAGCCUGAUCCAGCCAUACCGCGUGAGUGAAGAAGGCCUUCGGGUUGUAAAGCCCUUUUGUUGGGAAAGAAAAGCAGCAGGUGAAUACCCCGCUGUUCUGACGGUACCCAAAGAAUAAGCACCGGCUAACUUCGUG